rnacentral:lncRNA from 1 species
AGGUUUUACUUGUUGCAGUCAUUUGAUUGCGGCCGUGCUGGGACACCGCCUUGGAGAAGUUUUAGUCCGAUGAAUCGACCCCAUGGUACUUAAUUUAUCGAUCUUUUUGUCGAACUGCUAGAUAACGGGGACGUUAACACUCCAGCACCGGUUGUCAAACGAUGGUGGGAGACAAACACAUAUAUAAAAACAUACACACACACAUAGACAUAUACAUGCAAACACACACACACACAUAGACAUACACAUGCACACGCGUGCACGCACGUAUAAGCACACACACACACACAUAUACUUUAUUAUUAAAGCUGCAAGAACAUACAAAAAUGUGUUUUGUGACACCUUUUGCAGCUUUAAUAAUAAAGCACAUUACUCUACAUCCGGUAUUCGAGUACUAUUUUCUCCUACCUUGUUUCGCAUUUAUGAGCUUACUCUGGUGUACAUAUAUAUAUAUAUAUAUAUAUAUAUAUAUAUUCAUUCAUUUAUACUCAAGAAAGGUCUAUGUAUUGAGUUCUACAGUAUAACGUUACUCAGUGAAUCAAUACACACACACACAUGCGUGUACAUGUAGGUACGUAGGUUGGUACGUAGGUACGUGUGUAUACAUAUAUAAGUAUGUGUAUGUGUAUAUGCAAUAUGCAUGUGUGUAUAUUCAUAUAUAUAUAUAUAUAUGUAUGGUGUGUGAGAGAGAGAGAAAGAUAGUGAGAGAUAGUUUAUGCAUGUAUAUAUAUGUGUGUGUGUGUGUGUACUUAUACAUGUAUAUGUGUCAGAGUGUGUGUGUAUGUGUGUGUGUAUAUAUAUAUAUAUAUAUAUAUAUAUAUAUACGCACGAACAGAUAUGCACACACAUAUACAUAAAGGCAUUCAUUCAUGCAUACGUACGUACACACACUCAUAAACACGCUCACAAACAUACAUAUAGAGAUACACACAUAAACACACACGUACACACACACAUACACACACACAUGCACAAACACACACACACACACACACACACACACACAUGCACACACACAUGCACACACACAUGCACACAUACACACACACACAUACAUAUGCACACGCACAUACACACGCACACACACAUGCACACACGCUGAAAGAAUCCUUGUCGAAUGAUCGUCUGUUUUGAUGUAUUUUUUUUCUGCGGAUUGUUUCCAUUCAAUUAUUUAUUGCAACUCAUCAGGGAUUGUUGUGAAGGAGUUGCGCCGUCUUUGAGGAGGAAUGGUCACCAUUGAACACGGCUAAUAAACGCUGUUAGCAUUGCAUACGUUCCACACAGCCACUUCAACAAAACCGCGUUCGAAUCCAAACCUCUCUCCUCCCGGUUUUAAUUAAGAUAACUACCAUACUGAACCUUCAAUAACCAGCAAUCACACACACAAUUACAUACACUUACGCACACACAGACUUACAUAUACCUACACACACCCUCACACUCCUACACACGCCUUCACAUGCGCACACACACACAUACACAUACACCACAUUAUCUGUCUUUCUCUCUCCCCCUCUCUCACUCUGCUUCUUUAUUCUGUCUCUCUGCCCAUUCUUUGUCCUAUUACACUCUUACUCUUUCCCCCUCUCUCUCUCACACACAUAUACACACACGCACACAUAUACUCACACACAUACACACUCAGACACAUACACACACACACACGCUCACAUAUACUUACACACAUCCACACACAGACACAUAUAUACACGCACACACAUGCACACAUAUACUUACACACACACAGAGUCAUACAUACAUACAUACAUACACACACACACAUAUGCCAUCUCAUCUCCGCCUCUGUCUUUGUACUCUCCUGCUUUCUCUCCUUGUUUUCGUCCCUCUCUAUCCUUUUCUUUCUCUCUCCUCUCUCUUUCUCUCUCCUAUCCCUUUCUCACUCUGUUUUCUGCAUUUUUCCCUUCUUUUCUCUAUCUAUAUCCUAUCCCUCUCUUACUCUGCUUCUAGCUUCUUUCUUUCUCUCUCUCCCUCACUUUCUCUCACCCUCUAUCUCUCUCUUUAACUGUCUAUCUCUCUCUCUAUCUCUAUCUCUCUAUCUCAAUUUCUCUCUAUCUCUCUCUCUCUCUCUCUAACUGUCUAUCUCUCUCUCUCUCUAUCUAUCUCUAACACACACACACACACAGCCAUCCCUUAUCUCUUUCACACUCUUAGUACUCCUACUUCCCCUCUCUAGUUUACUAUCACUCCCUUUCUCUCCCUCUUUCCCUCUCUCUUUCUCUCUCUCUCUCUCUUUCUCAUUCUCAUUUACUCUCUCACCCUCAUUCUCAUUCUCUUUCACUCUCUCACCCAUUCACUUUCUCCCUCUUUCUCUUUCUCUAUCUAUCUAUCUAUCUAUCUCUCUGACGCGUACAUCCCUCAUCUCUUAGCGCCCUCUAUCUUAAUCUCUCUCCCGGUCUUACACACACACAAACACACACACAUACCCAUACACACUCCUUAAACACACACGCAUUGAUACAUACACAGAUACACACAUACACACACACACACAUAAACACACAUACACACAUACGCACUCACAUAUACAUACACACAAAAACAUACACACACAAACAUACACACACAUACACACACACUCGCACACACACAUGCACACACACACACACACACACACACACACACACACUCACGCACAGAUAUACAUGUGCGCUCGCGCACUUUCUCUAAGAGCAUGGAGGUACUCUUGAGAUUAAACUAAUCUGUUCUCGACACUCAACGCAAGUAUCCUUCGUUCAGCCAUCCGCCUGCCCGCCUGCCCGCCUUUCCGCCCUGCCCGCCGUGCCCACCUCUCCGCCCAGCCCGCCUUUCACCCGUCUACAUGUCUUCGUGUCUGUCAGUAUGUCUGUAUGUAUGUCUGUCUGCCUUCUGUAUAUGUCUGCCUGCUCUGUGCAUUUGGCCGUACGACUUGUCUGGGUUUCUGGUCUCUAUGUGUAGAGAUCAUCAUAUGGGUAGAUAGAUAGGUAGGUAAGUGGGCAGGCAGGUAGGUAGGUAGGUAGGUAGGGAGGGAGGGAGGUAGAUAGAGAGAGAGAGAGAAAGAAAGAAAGAAAGAAAGAAAGAUAGAUAGAUAGAUAGAUAGAUAGAUAGAUAGAUAGAUAGAUAGAUAGAUAGAUAGAUAGAUAGAUAGAUAGAUAUGUAAAUAUUUAAGACAGACAGACAGACAGACAGACAGACAGACAGACAGACAGAUAGAUAGAUAGAUAGAUAGAUAGAUAGAUAGAUAGAUAGAUAGAUAGAUAGAUAGAUAGAUAGAUAGAUAGAUAGAUAGAUAGAUAGAUAGAUAGAUAGAUAGAUAGAUAGAUAGAUAGAUAUGUAAAUAUUUAAGACAGAUAGAUAGAUAGACAGACAGACAGACAGCACUACAGACAGACAGAUAGAUAGAUAGAUAGAUAGAUAGAUAGAUAGAUAGAUAGAUAGAUAGAUAGAUAGAUAGAUAGAUAGAUAGACAAACAGGCAAACAGACAGAUAGAUAGCUAGAUAGAUAUCUUUCUUUUUUUAUUGCCCACGAGGGGCUCAACACAGAGGAGACAAACAGGGACAGAUAAACGGAUUAAGUCGAUUACAUCAACCCCCAGUGCGUAACUGGUAUUCAAUUUAUCGACCCCGAAAGGAUGAAAGGCAAAGUUGACCUCGGCGGAAUUUGAACUCAGAACGUAGCGGCAGACGAAAUACCCCUAAGCAUUUCGCCCGAUGUGCUAACGUUUCUGCCAGCGCUGCUAGAAAUAGCACCCGAUGGCCUUCAGUAACAAAACCACACGUUGGAUAAUACAGUGUUCUACAAACUCCUCUAAUAAAAUGGGAUGGUCCCGAAGAACAACAAUGGCAACAUCUAUCAACACGUCCAUCACCACCAUCAUCAUCAUCACCACUACAUUCAUCAUCAUCAUCGUCAUCAUCAUUAAUGUUACCACCAACACUACCACCACCAGCAGCAACAGUAGCAGCGAUAUAAUCAUCAUCAUCGUCAUCAUUAUCAUCAUCAUCAUCAUCAUCAUCAUCAUCAUCAAUGCCAUCAAUAACAGCAUCAAUACCACUACCAUCUCCAUCACCAGCACCAUCAUCAUCAUCAUCAUCAUCAUCUUCAUAAUUGUCGUCGUCUUCAUCCCUGCCACUAACACCAGCAUUACUAAUAACAACACCAUCAUAGUUAAGACCAUCAUCAUCAUCAUCAUCAUCUUCUUCUUCUUCUUCAUCACCACCACCACCACCAUCAUCAUCAUCAUCAUCAUCAUCACCGUCACCGCCACCACCAUCAUCAUCAUCAUCAUCAUCAUCAUCAACCACAGCAACAACAACAAUAGCAGCAAGUGUAAUACCCACACUCAUCUCUCUUAUCGUCACGAUCAUCAUCAUCAUCACCACCACCACCACCACCUUGUCUUCAUUAACAUCAUCAUCAUCAUAUUCAUCUUCAUCAUCAUCAUCUUCAUUAUCAUUUUCAUUAUCAUCAUCAUCUUCAUCAUCAUCACCACCACCACCACCAUCAUCAUCAUCACCACCACCAUCACCACCACCACCACCAUCAUCAUCGCCACCACCAUCAUCAUCAUCAUCAUCAUCAUCAACGUCAUCAUUAUCACCACCACCACCAUCACCACCACCAUCAUCGAUCCUCCUUAUGAUGACCGCCGUCACUGCCGCCACCGCCACCGCCGCCGCCACCGCCACCGCCGCCGCCAUCGCUAUGGUCAUUCCAAUUAUGAGAGAGAACGAGAUAAGUAGAACAAUUCUUGCACCAAUUCUUGCUGAGAGGAGGAGGAACAUUGUCGCUGGCGGAGUCUGAACUGUGACAGAUGUCGAUGGUAGCUGGGUUUGUUUUGUUUUUCUUUUUUCUUUUUUAUCGGUCUCUCGAGGAGAAGGAAGGAAAGGGAAUAGGUGGAGGCGGCGGCGGAGAGGCGAGCUUGGAGGAAGAUUUUUGAUGCUGAUGAUGGUGACGAAGAUGGUGAUGAUGAAGACAACGACGACGACGACGAUGGUGGUAG